rnacentral:lncRNA from 1 species
CCCAACCCUUUUGUUUCAUGGUUACCAAGGCACCUUGCACAAAAGACAAUAGCAGGCUGGCCACCUCUGCCCAGCUUCCCCAGCAGCCUGCACAGUGCAUCACCACAUCUGACUGGGACAUGGACAGGAGAGGCAUAACUAUGUCAUCCAGCUUCAUCACUGUGAUCUGUCUGAAUGGAGGAACUAGGUCUUUUACUAAUGCAGUCUGCCACAAUCAUUUUUAGGAGAAACGAAUCUCCAAAGAUUGCACCCAAAUCCCUGGAAGUUCACUGAAAUCCAGACAGGAUUUUUGUAUUUGUGUUAAUGUCACCAAAGAAGUAAAGUCCAAUAAAUACUUGAAUUCUG